AGUAUAGCGCCGGAAUGAACGGAUUAUAUUGAUGUUAUAAAUUAUAAGGUUUUUUAUAUCUUCUAUACUU
rnacentral:tRNA from 1 species